rnacentral:rRNA from 1 species
CCAGCAGCCGCGGUAAUUCCAGCUCCAAUAGCGUAUAUUAAAGUUGUUGCAGUUAAAAAGCUCGUAGUUGGAUUUCUGAAUGGAUACCGAUGCCCGCCUGCUGGCGUGUGCAAAGGUGCCCGUUCAUCCUUCUGUUAAGGUUUCUUAGUAUUCACUUACUGGUUUCCGGCUCAGAUAUUUUACCUUGAAUAAAUUAGAGUGUUUCAGGCAAGCUUGGUCUUGAAUACAUUAGCAUGGAAUAAUAGAAUAGGACUCUAGAUCCUUUGUUGGUUUCUGGAUUUGGAGUAAUGAUUAAUAGGGAUAGUUGGGGGCAUUAGUAUUUAAUUGUCAGAGGUGAAAUUCUU